rnacentral:rRNA from 1 species
AGUGAAGAAGGCCUUCGGGUUGUAAAGCUCUUUCAGACGGAAAGAAUCGCAUCUUCUAAUACAGGGUGUGGAUGACGGUCCCGUAAGAAGAAGCACCGGCUAACUACGUGCCAGCAGCCGCGGUAAUACGUAGGGUGCGAGCGUUAAUCGGAAUUACUGGGCGUAAAGCGUGCGCAGGCGGUGAUGUAAGACAGAUGUGAAAUCCCCGGGCUCAACCUGGGAACUGCGUUUGUGACUGCAUCACUCGAGUACGACAGAGGGAGGUGGAAUUCCGCGUGUAGCAGUGAAAUGCGUAGAUAUGCGGAGGAACACCGAUGGCGAAGGCAGCCUCCUGGGCCAGUACUGACGCUCAUGCACGAAAGCGUGGGGAGCAAACAGGAUUAGAUACCCUGGUAGUCCACGCCCUAAACGAUGUCAACUAGUUGUUCGGUGAGGAGACUCAUUGAGUAACGCAGCUAACGCGUGAAGUUGACCGCCUGGGGAGUACGGCCGCAAGGUUAAAACUCAAAGGAAUUGACGGGGA